CUCCGGUUGAUCCUGCCGGACCCGACUGCUAUCAGAGUGGGACUAAGCCAUGCGAGUCAACAUAGCAAUAUGUGGCAUACGGCUCAGUAACACGUAGUCAACAUGCCCAGGGGACGUGGAUAACCUCGGGAAACUGAGAAUAAACCGCGAUAGAUCAUUAUGCCUGGAAUGGCUUAUGGUUCAAACAAUUUAUUGCCGUAGGAUGGGACUGCGGCCUAUCAGCUUGUUGGUGAGGUAAUGGCCCACCAAGGCUAUAACAGGUACGGGCUCUGAGAGGAGAAGCCCGGAGAUGGGUACUGAGACACGGACCCAGGCCCUAUGGGGCGCAGCAGGCGAGAAACCUUAGCAAUGUGCGAAAGCACGACUAGGUUAAUCCGAGUGAUUUCUGUUGAAGAAAUCUUUUGUCAGUCGUAAAACCACAGACGAAUAAGGGGUGGGCAAGUCUGGUGUCAGCCGCCGCGGUAAUACCAGCACCUCGAGUGGUCAGGAGGUUUAUUGGGCCUAAAGCAUCCGUAGCCGGCUACGCAAGUCUCCGGUUAAAUCCAGCUGCUCAACAGAUGGGCUGCCGGAGAUACUACAUAGCUAGGGAGCGGGAGAGGUAGACGGUAUUCUGUGGGUAGGGGUAAAAUCCACUGAUCCAUAGAGGACCACCAGUGGCGAAGGCGGUCUACCAGAACGCGUUCGACGGUGAGGGAUGAAAGCUGGGGGAGCAAACCGGAUUAGAUACCCGGGUAGUCCCAGCUGUAAACGAUGCAAACUCGGUGAUGCAUUGGCUUAUGGCCAAUGCAGUGCCGCAGGGAAGCCGUUAAGUUUGCCGCCUGGGAAGUACGGACGCAAGUCUGAAACUUAAAGGAAUUGGCGGGGGAGCA
rnacentral:rRNA from 1 species